rnacentral:tRNA from 1 species
UUAAGAAUGACCGAGUAAAGGUGAUAAAUUUUUAAUUUAUUUACAGAGAUAUCUUUCUUAAC